GCUCACCAUUUCAGAGGUUCAAUCCAUGAUGGGCCAACUCCAUUGCUCUGGGACCAAGGUGAAGAGGGAUAUGGAGGAAGAGGUGGAGAGUUCUGCUCAUUUCAGGGAUCCAGAAAGCAGAUAAAGACUUGGAUGGCUUCAACAAUCAACUAUGGAAGCAAGUCACACUAUCCUGUCUUAAGAGUAUGGGAGCUUCUACUUCAUGUCUGUUGAAAAUGUGCUCUGUGGGAACCCUGUUAUGCGAGAAGUCUGACUUCCCUGAGAUUGUCACCAUGAGAAGGCCAUGGGUAUAACAAAAGAACUUCUCUGAAUAGCCAUUGCCAUAAUCUCCAAGUCAGAGAACUCACAAGUUUCAAAAUUGUGAAGAGCUACAUUAGUGUUACAUAAAAUGCUAACGUUGUCAAAAAUCAAAAUGGAGUUGUUUGGAUCCAUCCUAAUUAAAAAAA